CUUAAAUGGUGAUUAAGCCCAGCUGGGGAAAGGACCGGAGCGUGUGGAAAGCUCUCCAGGCAGGGAGGAGGCCUGACGCCACAGCGGGCCUGGCAGGCUCCCUGCUAGCCACUGCACUGCAGACCAUGUGGUUCCCGGGUCGGAAAAAGGAGCAGGAGCAGCUCCAGUGACUAGCACUGCUCGAGCUCUCAGCAGGUGGUUGUUGAUGGGUUGCUGGUGCACGCUUCUCCCACUGUUGCCUGGCCCUUUUCUCCUCGUGUGGCUGGGCUCAAGAUGCGGCAUGUGCCCUUCAGCGAUCCACAGUCUGUUGCCCCAUCACUGGCACCCAGGAGUUGGAGGAACUAAGAACGUCUGCCUUCAGUGGUCCACAGCAGGAAAGAAGAAGAAGAACAGAAAAGUUCAGCUCAGAAAUCAACAAUACAAAAUCCCGAAGAGCAUAGAAAACAACAGAGGCAAGAAAACAAAACCACCCAUCCAAGUUGAAUUAUCCUUGACCUAGGGAAAUAGCUUUAUCUCAGUGAUGAACUCCUAUGCUGCUGCCUAACGCAUGUUAGAAAUAUUGUUAUAAAUACUCAGU